rnacentral:rRNA from 1 species
UACGUAGGGGGCGAGCGUUGUCCGGAUUUAUUGGGCGUAAAGAGCUCGUAGGCGGCUUGGCAAGUCGGGUGUGAAACCUCCAGGCUCAACUUGGAGGGGUCAUUCGAUACUGCCAUGACUAGAGUUCGGUAGGGGAGUGUGGAAUUCCUGGUGGAGCGGUGAAAUGCGCAGAUAUCAGGAGGAACACCCGUAGCGAAGGCGGCCACCUGGACGGUAACUGACGCUGAGACGCGAAAGCGUGGGGAGCAAACAGG